rnacentral:ncRNA from 2 species
UGGUGGUGCAUGGCCGUUCUUA